UACGAAGGGGGCUAGCGUUGCUCGGAAUCACUGGGCGUAAAGGGUGCGUAGGCGGGUCUUUAAGUCAGGGGUGAAAUCCCAGAGCUCAACUCUGGAACUGCCUUUGAUACUGGGUAUCUUGAGUAUGGAAGAGGUAAGUGGAAUUGCGAGUGUAGAGGUGAAAUUCGUAGAUAUUCGCAGGAACACCGGUGGCGAAGGCGGGUCUCUGGGCCGAUACUGACGCUGAGGAGCGAAAGCGUGGGGAGCGAACAGG
rnacentral:rRNA from 1 species